GCCUUCGUGGUGUAGUGGUCAGCACGCUGGGCGCGUAUUCCAGAAGUCCGUAGUUCCAAUCCCGGCGAAGGCA
rfam:Stegodyphus mimosarum contig169275, whole genome shotgun sequence.